GAUGAACGCUGGCGGCGUGCCUAAUACAUGCAAGUCGAGCGAAUGGAUUAAGAGCUUGCUCUUAUGAAGUUAGCGGCGGACGGGUGAGUAACACGUGGGUAACCUGCCCAUAAGACUGGGAUAACUCCGGGAAACCGGGGCUAAUACCGGAUAACAUUUUGAACCGCAUGGUUCGAAAUUGAAAGGCGGCUUCGGCUGUCACUUAUGGAUGGACCCGCGUCGCAUUAGCUAGUUGGUGAGGUAACGGCGCACCAAGGCAACGAUGCGUAGCCGACCAGAGAGGGUGAUCGGCCACACUGGGACUGAGACACGGCCCAGACUCCUACGGGAGGCAGCAGUAGGGAAUCUUCCGCAAUGGACGAAAGUCUGACGGAGCAACGCCGCGUGAGUGACGAAGGCUUUCGGGUCGUAAAACUCUGUUGUUAGGGAAGAACAAGUGCUAGUUGAAUAAGCUGGCACCUUGACGGUACCUAACCAGAAAGCCACGGCUAACUACGUGCCAGCAGCCGCAGUAA
rnacentral:rRNA from 1 species